rnacentral:rRNA from 1 species
UACGUAGGGGGCUAGCGUUGUCCGGAUUUAUUGGGCGUAAAGAGCGUGUAGGCGGCCAUGUAGGUCCGGUGUGAAAACUCGAGGCUUAACCUCGAGAUGUCAUCGGAAACCAUUUGGCUAGAGUCCGGAAGAGGAGAGUGGAAUUCCUGGUGUAGCGGUGAAAUGCGCAGAUAUCAGGAAGAACACCCGUGGCGAAAGCGGCUCUCUGGAACGGUACUGACGCUGAGACGCGAAAGCGUGGGGAGCGAACAGGAUUAGA